AUUGAACGCUGGCGGCAGGCUUAACACAUGCAAGUCGAACGGGCACUUCGGUGUCAGUGGCAGACGGGUGAGUAACACGUGGGAACGUACCUCUUGGUUCGGAACAACACAGGGAAACUGGUGCUAAUACCGGAUAAGUCCUUACGGGGAAAGAUUUAUCGCCGAGAGAUCGGCCCGCGUCUGAAUAGCUAGUUGGCGAGGUAAUGGCUCACCAAGGCGACGAUCAGUAGCUGGUCUGUGAGGAUGAUCAGCCACAUUGGGACUGAGACACGGCCCAAACUCCUACGGGAGGCAGCAGUGGGGAAUAUUGGACAAUGGGGGCAACCCUGAUCCAGCCAUGCCGCGUGAGUGAUGAAGGCCCUAGGGUUGUAAAGCUCUUUUGUGCGGGAAGAUAAUGACGGUACCGCGAGAAUAAGCCCCGGCUAACUUCGUGCCAGCCGCCGCCGUAAAAC
rnacentral:rRNA from 1 species